AUUGAACGCUGGCGGCAUGCCUUACACAUGCAAGUCGAACGGUAACAGGUUAAGCUGACGAGUGGCGAACGGGUGAGUAAUGUAUCGGAACGUGCCCAGUCGUGGGGGAUAACUGCUCGAAAGAGCAGCUAAUACCGCAUACGACCUGAGGGUGAAAGCGGGGGAUCGCAAGACCUCGCGCGAUUGGAGCGGCCGGUAUCAGAUUAGGUAGUUGGUGAGGUAAAGGCUCACCAAGCCGACGAUCUGUAGCUGGUCUGAGAGGACGACCAGCCACACUGGGACUGAGACACGGCCCAGACUCCGACGGGAGGCAGCAGUGGGGAAUUUUGGACAAUGGGCGCAAGCCUGAUCCAGCCAUGCCGCGUGCGGGAAGAAGGCCUUCGGGUUGUAAACCGCUUUUGUCAGGGAAGAAAAGGUUCUGGCUAAUACCUGGGACUCAUGACGGUACCUGAAGAAUAAGCACCGGCUAACUACGUGCCAGCCGCCGCAGUAAUAC
rnacentral:rRNA from 1 species